UACGGAGGGUGCAAGCGUUAUCCGGAUUUACUGGGUUUAAAGGGUGCGUAGGUGGGUUGGUAAGUCAGUGGUGAAAUACUUUCGCUUAACGAAGGAACUGCCAUUGAUACUACCAGUCUUGAAUACAGUGGAGGUAGGCGGAAUGCGUCAUGUAGCGGUGAAAUGCUUAGAUAUGACGCAGAACACCAAUUGCGAAGGCAGCUUGCUACACUGUUAUUGACACUGAGGCACGAA
rnacentral:rRNA from 1 species